AGUGAACGCUGGCGGUAGGCCUAACACAUGCAAGUCGAACGGCAGCACAGUAAGAGCUUGCUCUUACGGGUGGCGAGUGGCGGACGGGUGAGGAAUACAUCGGAAUCUACUUUUUCGUGGGGGAUAACGUAGGGAAACUUACGCUAAUACCGCAUACGACCUACGGGUGAAAGCAGGGGAUCUUCGGACCUUGCGCGAUUGAAUGAGCCGAUGUCGUAUUAGCUAGUUGGCGGGGUGAAGGCCCACCAAGGCGACGAUCCGUAGCUGGGCUGAGAGGAUGAUCAGCCACACUGGAAGUGAGAAACGGUCCAGACUCCUACGGGAGGAAGCAGUGGGGAAUAUUGGACAAUGGGCGCAAGCCUGAUCCAGCCAAACCGCGUGGGUGAAGAAGGCCUUCGGGUUGUAAAGCCCUUUUGUUGGGAAAGAAAAGCAGAAGGUUAAUACCCCGCUGUUCUGACGGUACCCAAAGAAUAAGCACCGGCUAACUUCGUG
rnacentral:rRNA from 1 species